rnacentral:rRNA from 1 species
UACGUAGGGCGCAAGCGUUAUCCGGAAUUACUGGGCGUAAAGCGCGCGUAGGCGGCUUUGCAAGUCGGGUGUGAAAUCCCCAGGCUUAACCUGGGAACUGCAUUCGAGACUGCAUUGCUAGAGUAUGGGAGAGGGAAGUGGAAUUUCCGGUGUAGCGGUGAAAUGCGUAGAUAUCGGAAGGAACAUCAGUGGCGAAAGCGACUUCCUGGACCAAUACUGACGCUCAUGUGCGAAAGCGUGGGGAGCAAACAGG